rnacentral:rRNA from 1 species
AGCAGCCGCGGUAAUUCCAGCUCCAAUAGCGUAUAUUAAAGUUGUUGCAGUUAAAAAGCUCGUAGUUGAAUUUCGGGGUCAGUAGGUCGGUCGUGCCACUGGUAUGAACUGGUUUUACUGAUUCCUCCCUCUUGAAGAACUGUAAUGCCAUUAAUUUGGUGUUGCAGGGAAUCAGGACUGUUACUUUGAAAAAAUUAGAGUGUUUAAAGCAGGCUUUAGCUUGAAUACAUUAGCAUGGAAUAAUGAAAUAGGACGUUUGAUCCUAUUUUGUUGGUUUCUAGGAUUGACGUAAUGAUUAAUAGGGAUAGUUGGGGGCAUUAGUAUUCAAUUGUCAGAGGUGAAAUUCUUGGAUUUAUUGAAGACUAACUACUGCGAAAGCAUUUGCCAAGGAUGUUUUCAUUAAUCAAGAACGAAAGUUAGGGGAUCGAAGACGAUCAGAUACCGUCGUAGUCUUAACCAUAAACUAUGCCGACUAGGGAUCGGAUGAUGUUAAUUUUUAAUGUACUCAUUCGCGCCUUAC